GAAAAACAUGAAUUAUUUUUAUAAUGUCAGCUAAUCCACAGCUGUGCCACCUGUUAGUAUGGAUGCUAUCCAAAAGGAUUUUUGAAACCUUGUUAUCCAAAUGCAGAAAUGGCAGCUGAAGAGAUGAUUUGUGACAGCAUUUGCUGAGACGAAGUCUGUCCACUAGAUGGAUAAAAUCAGUUCCCUUUUCAUAGCUUGAUCAUCUACAUCUGCUAGUGACCCAGUCCCUGAGAGUCACCAAGAAUUGAUUCCACUGAGGCGAUGGCAGGCGGGGCUUUGGUGUUGGAAAAGUCAGUGGUUGAUAUGGACAGCACAGACUCACAUAAGCUGCUGGUUUAUUACACUAGAAAAAUAAGGCUCUUUUAAUGCAAGAGAAAGAAAACCAGCUACAACCACCUAAAAUCAAAUGGGGAGUUUCAUGGUGCACAUCCACAAAGUGGACAUGUCAGGACAGGGGAACAUCUGGAUCACAAGAAUGCCGGUUCCCAAAGACAAUAAGGAUGGUUUCCAGCCUCUACUAUUUCUGCACUGCGAAGCCAUCAUCUCCAUUUCAGACUUUCCCACUAAGCAGGAAAUACAAUUGCCAACAGCAGCUAGCUUCGUACCUCAAAGCAACACCAGAAAGAAGAAGCAUUUCCAUCGAGGGAAGGAGUGAGUG
rnacentral:lncRNA from 1 species